UAAAAACUACUUUCAGGGAUUGUUGCUAUAGCUCAUUACUAGAGAAGUUUCUCUGAACGUGUAGAGCACCCGAAACCACAAAGAGGAGGCGCAGUGUUCUCUCCUGUGCUUGAAGCCAGCUUUUGGUGUUGCUUUUGCGACUGCCAAGAGCCAUUGACAAUCGUUCUUCUCUUCUUUUGAAAGAGGAGAGAAUGCAGUCUUAGUGGU